AUUUCACACUUAUCACCUCUUUCCACAAGGAUUGUUCAUUGGAAGCAAAUCUCCAAAGCCAUUUCAUCAAAAGGCUUUGGUUUUGAGCUUUCAAAUUCUUGAUUCCAGGCCCCCUGCCUUUUUGCUUCCUAUUAGAGCCUCCCAUUUAACCAGAUGGAUCUUCUUAGUAUCACUGUUACCCUUCCAAAGGAAGUUCCUUCUCAAGAGAUCCAAUCUCUCAAUAACUCUCUUAGGAAUGGGGAAUAGGGAAAUCAUGUAUGUGGGCAUGGCAUCCAAAACACUAUUGAUCAGUGUUAAUCUCUCUCCCCCCCCCCCCCCCCCCCCCCCCCCAAAAAAAAAAACCCAAAGGAUAGAUAUUGGCUUUUCCAGUUCACUAGCCUUUUUUCACAUCUCUCAACCACCCCAUUCCAUAUUCCUAUGGACCUGCUUUUAGCACCAAGGGGCAUGCCUAAAUAAACAGUUGACAAUUCCCCAGAUCUACCUCCCAGAACCUCAAUCAAGGAGGGCAAAUUAGUUACCUCAUUUACUGGAUAUAAGAAGCUUUUAUUCCAGUUUAUGUGUAAACCUGAUACUGCUUCAAAAAGGAUAAAGAUCACCCUAAGAAUCUUUAGUUGCUCCCUGUCAGCAUCACAAAAGAUCAGAGUAUCAUCAGCAUAGUGGAGAUGAGUAAUCUCCAUAGCUUCCCCCACUCUGUUUGUCUAUUUUGACUUGGCAUGGAGUUUAAGAGUGUCUUUUGAAUCUUGUGGCCUUAAAGUAAUGUACCAAAAUGUUGUUUAAUCCUGUGGUUUAAGCAUGUCAUUUGGAAAUUUGGAAUUAAGGAGUUGCCAAAAAAGGAAAGAGACAUUCUUUUGAAACGAACUAAAAAGGAAAGUAAGACAAACAAAUUGAAAUGGAGGGAGUACAUAGAAAAUGUCGUCCAUAGGAAAUAUUUUCGCUUGUGAAAUCAUUUACUGAUACUCGUUUUCCAAAGUGAAGACCCAGUAGCAAACCUAAAUGUAAAAGAGCUAGCUUGAGACCUCCAGGUUAAUCUUCAUUUUCCUAUUUUAUAGUAGAUGCCUACGGUUUUGGACUAGGGUUUAAGGUUUUAUGCUUAUUUUCAGAUUUGGGCAUUUCGUUCUGCAAAUUACUAUGAUGUUUUUGGUUGCUUUUAUUAUUGGGUGUGUUUGGUAUGAGGGAAAAAAUUUCCACAGAAAUCAUCUCUCCCACGCGAAAUCACAGCUACAAAAAUGGGUUUCGGAGCCCUAAGAUCAAUAAUCCGACCCGUUUUUUCAAGAGCACUCUUAUCGACCCGGCCCGUAUCCGCAUUCAACUCUCCGGCGACAACAAUAUCUCCGGGUCAAAGUUUGCAUAGUUUGACUUUCAAGAAGCGAAAUAUGACAACUAAUUUGGGACAAGAGUAUUUGAUCAUUUUCUUGGGUUUAGUUGGGAUUGUAAUGGUACGAGGUGGGGGAUUGGAACAUGAGGAUGUCGUUUUGAUGAUUUUCUUGAGUGUUCACAUUCACAAGUCACACAAAUGUCGAAGUGUUGGGAUUGUAAAGAAGCUGACUUUGUCAUGAAGUGAUGUCCGUAUGCAUGGGUAAAAUAUACCACCCGGUGAACCUAUAAGUCCAAACAAUCCCAAUGAAGGAAGUGUCAAGCGGAGGAAUGAGAAGAAGAGAAUCAGGCAGAGAAAGGCAUUUAUAUUGGUAUGAGCAUAGAAUUGUGACCUUGUGGGGUGAGCUAGCUGAAAAAGAUGGGGAAAUACUACAAAAACUGAUAGAUACAAAACCUGUCGUAGCAUUUUGUGACGUGAAAGGGUUGACCUAUCAAGGCAUGAUUGUUUGAAAGCGCAAUUGCUGAAGAGAUGCAUGAAGUUGGAACUAUUGCUGCAAUUGAAAUUGAGGAAAACGCAAUAGAGGUGCAGAAAAACCACACGAAGAAAACAAGGGACUGUGGAGAAAAAAGACCCUCAUUCAAUAAUUUAUAAGAAAAUCAAAAUAGAAAAGUAUUAGCGAUUUGUUGUUGUUUUGUCAUUCCAGUAGACAUUCAUUAUCUUUUUUUGAGUAGAUUUCCCGUAGUCUUUAUUUAAUUCUCU